AUGAUUGCGGACAACUUUCUGUUUUCACAAUGACAUUCAAAUCAGCAUUGAAAAAAGUUGCACGUACAUUUGUUCCGCCUGAGCGAGUCCACUAUGAUGACAUGCAUUUGGUGGAUCGCGAGAAAAGAGCAGGAAUAGGUUUUUGUAGGCUACAGUUCAAACUAAACCUUCCAACAGUGCGAUUAAUGUCGGCAUCCGAAGAUUAUUCAAUUUGAAUAAACGCUUGGAGCUUGCAAAGACGUUGACGAUGCUUCAGGCGUGGUGGAGGACCAGGGAGAAGGAAGGGGGUACUACCGAGGGCUACCCUCUCACCCCUCUUUAACUUUCUAGAAAAGGCUGCCCCUUCUCCUCUGGGACACAUCAGCCCCUUCUAACUCACAGAACAGCACGUCCAUGUCAAGAGCGCUGUUAUGCCAUAUGCGGUUGUCACUGCUGCAAUCAUGAAAAGGAAGAAGGUGCACACCGUGCAGAGACAAUUAUUAAUGCCCGAGAUCCCGAAGAGGCAAUUGGGGAAAACCAUGACUGCUGCUUUCCAGAGGGGGGCUGUGGAUCGCAACGCUAUUGAGUUCAACUCUCCAAUUGCCUAACUCACCGCACCUGACCAACUGACCAAUUCAAAGACUUAUGCAAAACGUACACUCGCAAUUAAAAACGCUGUGUUUUUGCAAGCAAGUGCAAUAAUGUAAUUGAGAGUGAUAAGUGUGAAGGGCAAAAUAAAGAUUUUGCGAAAACCAGGAGAACUUCCCAUGAAGGAGGGCAAGUGAAAUGUUAGCAAGUGAAAUGUUGUUGAGUUUUUGUCAUUGAUGAGACGAACUGUACUGGCUGAUUUUCUUCCAAGGUUUUCCUCAUUAAGAAAUGUGACAUACUGUAAUUCAUUUUCUAGUUUGAAUUCACCAGCCCUGGUUCUCUCUCUCUCGUUCUCUCGUUUCCCUCAUGUUCUCUCUGUGAGUCACUCGGAAGAUCUCAAUUGCAUACUCCUCUCAUCUCCUUCUCAAAACCCAUUGGGGGAGAAGGUCAGGGGAGGAGGCACUCUGGCUUUCUCAUCCAAUGGGUUUUGAAAAGGAGAGAGGAGAAAGAAUGCCAGGCGUAUGCAAUUCAGAUCUUCCCAUUGUCCUUAAGACCAGAUUGUAAACUGUUCAGUGGUUGGAAGAUCAGUGGAUGUUCAAAGCACCCGUUUUAGUUGAACCCUUUUGAACAAACAUAUAAUGUGGGUCAGACCUGGGUUAAUAAGGAUCAGCGCUUUAAAAAAAACUGCCUGUAGCGCAGGCCCUGAAGCAAGGAUAUGCAUAUUCUUGGUACCAUUUGAAAGGAAACACUUUGGACUUUGGAAAUGUGAAAGGAAUG